rnacentral:rRNA from 1 species
GACGAACGCUGGCGGCGUGCUUAACACAUGCAAGUCGAACGGAAAGACGCUGAUUUUGUGGGGUUCUCGUGAGGCGCACGGGGGAGUGACACAUGAGUAUACUGCACUUGUAUUUGGGAGAACUCCAGGAGAAUGGGGCUAUUACAGGGGAUGAUCUACUGCUGCGCGGGGGUGAAUGGUGAGUGUCGGCGGUUGGGGCUCGUCUAGCUGCUUAUGAGCUUGAUUGUGGAGUAGUGGCUGUCCAGGGCUUUGAAGGGUAGCCGGCCUAAGAGGGUUAACGGGCACAUUGGGACUGAGAUACGGCGCAGACUCCUACGGGAGGCAGCAGUGGGGAGUAUGGCACAACGAGCCGAAGCCUGAUGCAGCAACGCCGCGUGCGUGAUGCCGGGUUUCGGGUGGUAAACCGCUUUCGACUGUGAUGAAGCGGGAGUGACGGUACUGGGUAAAGAAGCACCGGCUAACUACGUG